rnacentral:rRNA from 1 species
UACGUAGGGGGCUAGCGUUGUCCGGAUUUAUUGGGCGUAAAGAGCGUGUAGGCGGCCAGGUAGGUCUGCUGUGAAAAUUCGAGGCUCAACCUCGAGACGUCGGCGGAAACCAUCUGGCUAGAGUCCGGAAGAGGAGAGUGGAAUUCCUGGUGUAGCGGUGAAAUGCGUAGAUAUCGUAAGGAAGACCAGUGGCGAAGGCGGGUCUCUGGACAGUUCCUGACGCUGAGGCACGAAGGUCAGGGGAGCAAACGGG